GCGAGCCGUAUGAAUUGAAAGGUUCACGUACGGUUCUGAGGGCAGAUUGAUAAACCCUAAAGGGCGGAUACCCUAAGCAGCCGACCGGCCGACUUAGCCCUAAUGAGUUCGGCCAUGUUUAUCAUGGACGAGGGCCGCCUUAGCGGCCCUAGACUCCCCCAAGGACAUCCUUCUGACCCCUAC
rnacentral:ncRNA from 1 species